AUGGUUGGCUCCCAGCAGCUUAGAAGGAAUAGGAUCCAACACUUCCUGUAUGUUAAGGAUAUGCAUCUGGGCCCAUUAGAAUUCUCUCCUUGGGUUUGGAAGUGUGGAUUCUGUAUCUCUUUAAAAAACGUAAUAUUUGAUCUUGGGGACCCUGGGCAGCCGUUUUAUACUCAUGAACGGAGAGAGCGGCACCGCGCUAAGAAGGAGGGCGAGUGAGUGGCUUUUUAAUGGAAAGACGACUUCAAGCAUCUCUGUAUCCAGACGCGGCUGCAAAAAGCAGGGCAAAGCAACAGACAAAAGGACAGAGGUGUAUACAAACGGUUGGGAAACUGGACCGUUCCUUUGUUCCUUUCUGGGAAGUUUACAGCAAGCAGAGCCCUGAGCGGAGACUAACCAAUGAUGAGCAUGAUAUGGCCACGGCCGGAAACGCCAGGAGCGCAUCUAUGGGACUCUUCAUUGUGGCUGAAGCAUAGCUUUUUGUGGGGAGGGGUCUGAGAUGAAUGUAACUCCGUUCUUGACUCCAUGUUGGAUGCCAGGACGCACGAGGAGAAUACCUCUUGGGCACACACGUGUAACAGGAGAUGAUUUUUAUGCCCAUUGGUGUUUCAGUUGACUGUAUGUCUGUGUGAAGGUGUCAGAUGCCCUGAAACUGGAGUUGCAGGCAGUUGUGAGCCACCAUGUGGGUACUGGGUAUUGAACCAGGGUCCUCUGGAAGAGCAGCCAGUGCCUUUAACCUCUGAGCCAUCUCUCCAGCCCCUGUCUUGUGGUGUUUUGUGCCUGCCUGUGAGGCAAGUGCCCUGCAAGUCAACUGUAUCCUUACUCCUACCUUGAACAUUGUCCAUGUGGCAAUUUUACUUAGGAAGAACAAGGAACCAGGGAAAAGAGCGAAGUGUCAAAUGUGUCACGCCCAGCAGCAGAGCUUAGAAAAGGAGGAGGGGGGAGGAGGUGGAUGAAGAGGAGGAGGAGGAGGAGGGAGAGGAGGGAGAGAAUGAGAAGAGGAGGAGAAAGAGGAAGAGGAGGAGGAGGAAUGCCAAGUGAAUGGCUUGGAUUGCCAAGACUUCAUGGAAAAUCCUAUUGCAGUGAGGCCUGGGUGAUUGAAUGUGUGUGUGUGUGUGUGUGUGUGUGUGUGUGUGUGUGUGUGUGCGUGCGUGUGUGCUCUGUGGUGCUGGUGGUGUUGGAGCUCCAUGCACACUCAAGAGCUAUGUAAGUACUUGGACCUUGUGGCUUCAGGGUGUUUUGACAGACGCAGAGCAUGUGGAACAUAACCAGGGUAGAGGAGGGAAGAAAGCACUGAACUUCAGGAAGAGAUGAGGAGGCUAACAUUGAAGAACUUGGGGUGGGCAUGGGCAGAGAAGGCAGGAAACAAAUACUGUGCCAAGGUUUAUUUACUAGAACUGAACAGUAAGAAGUACAAUUCCUUACCAAGAGAUUUGCAAUAUGCAAGACACUCCAUUCACCUGGAGUCUGGAGUCUGAGCAAUGCAACUGUGCUUUUACUUCUAGAAGCCGCAGCUUCAUUCUGACUGGUACCGGACAGGUUUUGCAGACCAGGCAAAUAGUAGUUCAUCCUUCUUCUACCUGGUAGAGAGUGGUCACUGGAGAGACGAAAGUACAACAGGAGGCUUUCAAGAUCUAUGUCUGAAGUUUUGCUGAGUCUCUAAAAUCACCCCGUGCCUUGGAGAGAGGACUCAGCUUGGAAUGUGUAGCUGGCCUCAGAGCCUCAGUGGAGAUCACUUUGGGUGAGAUCCUGGCUCACUCUCCCGCUCUCUUCUUGUAACUAUCAGGGGUGGACCAAUCCCCAGCUAAAUGCUUUCCAUAGGAUUCAAACAGGAUGAGCACUGCCCUGGUGACAAGAAGAAUGCUAACACCGAUGGCGGCAGGAGGUCAUCAAUCUUCCCACAAGUUGACCACAUUUUUGGACACAAGCAAGUCUCUACAGAUACAAGAAUAUUGAGGCUGCCUUCGCAUCCCCCACAUGGUGUGAUGAGAUAUGAUUGGCUGAGGAUUUAGGGGCUUGGGAUUAGCUCAAACACUGGUCUCUGGCAUCUGAUCCCGGGAUUCAUCACGUGACUCCAUCACCUCUCACCCCUAUCCUGGGUCCUGUCCCCAUGUCACCUUGUAUUUAAGUUGAUAGGAAGAAUGAGGACAGCAUAAAAGAAUAUUUUGAGAGAGGGAAGAGAGCAUCUUCAGAGACGUUUACAAAUUUAUAAAGCCCGUUUUGUUAUUUAUAUUAAUCCUUUACUAUGACGAGUGACCAGAUCAAUGCUAGAUAAGUGUGCAGAACAAGCUGCAGUAUAUAUAAGGUUGGGUACUAGACACAGUUUCAGACGCUUGCUGUGGCUCUGCAGGCCAACGUUGGAACCGAUAUUUGCAUCAGUGAAGAGUGCAGUCGUUAAUUCAGAAAGUGAUCAAAAGAAGGCACUGAGUGAUUUGCCUGGAGGAAUUACAGUAUGAAGUCACAAGAUCAACAGUCGAUUUCCUGAUGCCUGAGAUCCCCAGCAGUGAUAACUGCCUAUCUCUCGAGAUCAAUGGGAUUGGAGACAUGUUUGUGGGUAUGUGCCACUUGAAAGCAUUAGGCAGGGUUGACUGAGGGCGACUGACAGCUGAUAGAAGAGGAAGACUCAAGAGCUGUAGCGUAUGGCUUAAUCCAGGAAGAGGGUCCUUUGUGGGGUGGUUGCUAUAGGGUCAGUAUUGGAGGAAAGGAGAUGAGCUUGUGAUGCAUGCAGUACUGGAUGCUUUUUGCUCACGCAGAUUGUCGAUGAAGGCAGCCAGGGAUCUGGGAGGUAGGCAUAGGUCUCAUCAGGGCUUGGAUUACAUCGGAGGUCAUACGGGCUUUAUACAAUGAAAUCGUCAGGGGAGAGCAUGCAGACAGGACCAAGGAUGUAAGUGUGUGUGUGCGGGGCGCCCAUGUGUGAAGUGGGAGCUGUAGGAAAUGAGGUAUGAGAGCGAGGGAGGGAAUUGGCAGGAAAUGACGUAAGGGGAAGAGAAGGAUCAUGGGAGUACUGAAUGGGGAUCAAGUUUAGCCGCAGAUCUAGGUGGAAGGCUUCAGAGGGCUGGAAAUAAAUGGAAGAUGGUGACAGCUGAGCACAGCUCAGUGGCAGGAAGAGGAGCCAUGCUGAGUGGUGGAAUUAAAAUAAGAAUGCCCACGGAAUGAGGGUCCUAGGACAAGAAGAACCUCCGGAGUCCACACCUGCUUGACCUGUCAACUUGUUACAACCCAGAGUUAUCUAAGGGAGGAGUCUCAGUGGAAAAACUGUCUACAUUAUAUUCGCCUAUGACAUGUCUCGGGGGGCGUUUUCUUGAUUGCUAAUUGAUGCAAGAGGAUAUAGUCCACUGUGGGUGGUACCAUCCCUAGGCAGGGAAAUCAGCCUAGCAGAGCAGAGGCUAGGAAACAAGUCAGUAAGCACCAUUGUAUGGUUUCUGUUUUAAGUUCCUGCCUUAGUUCCUGCCAUGGCUUCUCU
rnacentral:lncRNA from 1 species